rnacentral:lncRNA from 1 species
UGGGCCUUUUCCGGGUAAGUAAUCUGCGCAUGCGCGCCGGCGUGGACGAGGCACGCGCCAUGAUUUUUGGUGGCCAAAACGCGACGACACGUACGGAUCAAGCGAUGUUUGGUGUAACAAACGUCCAAUUGUCUAGUCCAAAGAGGGCGUAA